rnacentral:tRNA from 1 species
GUGAUGAUAGCUCAGUAAUAGAGCACUUGCUUGGCAUGUGUGAGGCUCUGGGUUCAAACCCCAGCGCUACA